rnacentral:tRNA from 1 species
UCCGGUGUGGUCUAGUGGCUAGGAUAUCUGGCUUUCACCCAUAAGGCCCGGAUUUAAUUCCCGGCGUCGGAA